ACGAAGGGUGCAAGCGUUAAUCGGAAUUACUGGGCGUAAAGGGUGCGUAGGCGGUUCGUUAAGUCUGUCGUGAAAGCCCCGGGCUCAACCUGGGAACUGCAUUGGAUACUGGCGAUCUGGAGUGCGGUAGAGGGUGGCGGAAUUCCCGGUGUAGCAGUGAAAUGCGUAGAUAUCGGGAGGAACAUCCGUGGCGAAGGCGGCCACCUGGACCAGCACUGACACUGAGGCACGAAAGCGUGGGGAGCAAACAGGA
rnacentral:rRNA from 1 species